AUAAAUUAGUUUUUAAUAAGGAGGAUUAGAAAUGUGAAUAUUAUAUCAAAUUAGGACAGAGCUCAUCGAAACGAGAAUUUUGACACCAAUUUCGAAGAAAACGGUCCAAAAUUGGACCGAACGGGCCGGACCGGUUGAACCGGACCCAAACCGGGCCCGUGGGCCCAACCGGCCAGCAUUUAAAUGAGCCUAAAAGCUCAUUUCUCUUCAUUAACGUAACAGAAGCAGCAACGCUCCCAGGGAGGAAGAGAACGCCAAACCUAACGGCAACCUUCAACAUGCCGUAACUCCUCCGUCCGAACUCCGAUCGCCGCACCGUUUGCGGCCACGCGUUCACCGCGUCGAGCUCUACGUUUCUACCGGAACAAUUUCAUAGGAUCCAAUUAGCUUGAGAGAAACGUUCACUCUUGCUUAUGUGAAGCUUGGGUAAGGUUGUGAAUAAAUAAUUGGAGCUUGAAAUUGUGAAUAUUGGAACUUGGAGGAAGCUGAUUAGUUGAAUUUUGAAGGGGCUGCCUUGGUUUUAAAUAAUUUGCUUUGGUCGUUACGGGGAAAUCGGCCAAGAUGCAGGUCGAGAGGCAUCUCGUUAGGCGUCUGGACUCUUGAGGCGGAGUGGUUACUGGGAUAUUUUGUUAUGCUAUGAUGUAUAUAUAUGUACUUAGCUUUCUCUCCGCAUGACUUAUUCUUUUUUAUCCUCUUAGAGGUUUAUGGAGAGGCAGGAUUGUGUAUAUGUACUUUUGGGUUUUUGAUAUGUAUGUAUAUAUGUGUAAAUAUUCUCCGGCCAGUCUUGACUUCGCAGGCUGAGUUAGGAGCUUGUUAUUUUGUAUCUUUGGUAUUCUACCCCUACUUCUGUUAUCUUAUGUUUAAUAGUUAUGGUUUUCUUAGCACGCAGGUUAACUCGUUCCUUGAGUGUUGCGCUUUUAUUUCGCGAUUUUUGUUUCCUCUAUUCUUCAAGGCUCCUAGCAUAUUAUAAUUCUUCCGCUAUUAUAUGUACUUAUUUUAUUCAGAAGUCGUAAUACCACACCACCUCUGUUUUACGACUUAAGCGUAAAACUUAGUGUGGUAGGGUGUUACAUUAUGGUAUCAGAGCAGUUCGUUCCUAUAGAGCCUGAAAGACGGACUGAUUGUACUUCUGUGCAUUCUCUGUAUAUGUGUUUAUGUGCUAUUAGGAUAUCUGACUGAUAUAUAUGGCAUAAACGUUUGUGAGCAUGCAUUUGGAACUUAAAGCAUUAGACCUGCGAUAUUGAGACUGAUCAACUUAAUAUCACUUGUUUGGUGUGUAUAAGGACCAGAUGUCGACUCGCAGACGCGGUCGCGGGCGAGGUAGAGGUAGGAUAGGCAUCGUUACUCCUAGCCCGGUAGGGAAUGAUCCAGUAGACUUUAUGGCUGCCCUGGGAAAUAUGGCUGCAACUAUGCAGGUGACAGCCAAGGCACUGGGUAAUAAGAUAAACCAGGGUAAUCACGGGAACAAUAAUGAUGAGGACGGUCCUAUGACACUUGCAACGUUUCUGAAAGUUCACCCUCCUACUUUUAGGGGAACCUCAAAUCCCACUGAUGCAGAUAAUUGGAUCCAGGCUAUGGAAAUGGUGUCGCAGGUUCCUGAGGAGCAUUGGGUUGAGUUUGGAACUUAUCAGCUGCAAAGCGAGGCUCAGCAUUGGUGGUAGGGAAUACGACGUAUCCUGUAGACAGAUGAUGCUAGGAUAACCGGGAGGUUGGUUAUCCAAGAAUCAUGUUUUGCUUGAUUGUUCUGAGAAGUUAGUACAGUUUAUGCCAGAAGGGUCAGAAGCACCGGUUGUGGUGAAUAGUUACUAUUUGAAUUCUAUGAUAGUAAACUGUUCUGGAACUGGAUGUCAGGGUGUUAUGUUAUUAACUGUGGGAGUACCAGGUGAUGAUCAGAGUUUAGAGCAGAUUUCGGUUGCAUGUGAAUUUCCAGAUGAGUUUCCAGAUGAUAUUAAUGAAUUUUCAUCUAACCGAGAGGUUGAAUUUGCAAUCGAGUUGGUACCUGGAUCUGGUCCAAUUUCAAUUACUCCUUAUAGGAUGUCACCUUUAGAAAUGGCUGAACUGAAAGCUCAACUGGAAGAUCUAUUGGGUAAGCAUUUUAUUCGACCAAGUGUUUCUCCGUGGGGAGCACCAGUGUUACUAGUAAAGAAGAAGGAUGGGAGUAUGCGAUUGUGUGUCGACUAUCGGUAGUUGAAUAAGAUCACUGUGAAGAACAAAUAUCCAUUGCCUAGAAUCGAUGAUCUAAUGGAUCAGUUACAGGGUGCCGGUGUGUUUUCUAAGAUUGACCUGCAAUCCGGGUAUCAUCAGAUAAGAGUUAGAGAUGAGGAUAUUUCAAAAACUGCUUUCAGGACACGUUAUGGUCAUUAUGAAUAUACGGUGAUGUCUUUUGGAUUAACUAAUGCUCCGGCCGUAUUUAUGGAUUAUAUGAACAAGAUUUUCCGACCGUAUCUGGACAAGUUUGUUAUUGUCUUUAUUGAUGACAUUCUUGUUUAUUCUAAGUCUGAAGAGAAACAUGCUGAACACUUGCGAACUGUGCUGCAAAUUCUGAGAGAUAGGAAGUUAUAUGCUAAGUUAUCUAAAUGCGAGUUCUGGAAGAGUGAAGUGAAGUUUCUCGGCCACGUGGUGAGUAAGCAGGGGAUAGCUGUGGAUCCUGCUAAGGUGGAAGCAGUGAUGAAUUGAGAGCGAUCAACUUCAGUGACAGAGAUCAGGAGUUUCUUAGGUUUGGCGGGGUAUUAUCGCAGAUUCAUUAAGGGAUUUUCACAGCUCGCCAUACCUUUAACUAAAUUGACUAGGAAGGAUACGCCUUUUGUCUAGACUCCGGAAUGUGAAGAGAGCUUCCAAGCAUUAAAGCACAGGUUGACUACUGCACCUAUAUUGGUAUUACCUGAACCAAGUGAACCGUUUGAAGUGUAUUGUGAUGCAUCUCUGAAAGGUUUGGGGUGUGUUCUAAUGCAGCACCAAAAUGUUGUAGCAUACGCCUCACGGCAGUUAAGGCCGCAUGAGAUGAACUACCCGACACAUGAUUUAGAACUUGCUGCUGUUGUGUUUGCUUUAAAGAUCUAGAGGCACUACCUCUAUGGCGUUAAGUUUCAUGUUUUCUCAGACCAUAAGAGUUUGAAGUAUCUUUUUGAGCAGAAAGAGUUAAAUAUGCGUCAGAGGAGGUGGAUGGAGCUUCUGAAAGAUUAUGAUUUUGAAUUGAAUUAUCAUCCAGGAAAAGCGAAUGUUGUGGCGGACGCUUUGAGUCGGAAAUCUUUAUAUGCAGCUUGGAUGAUGCUACAGGAGGAAGAGUUACUGAAGGCAUUCCAAGGUUUGAAUUUGGGAGUUAGAGAAGAAUCUGGAAUCCUGUGUUUGAGUCAGUUGUAAAUUUCUAGUGAUUUUAAAUCAGAACUUCUGAAGGCUCAUCGAGAUAGUGAAGCGUUACGUAAGGUAUUACCAGCAGUUGAACAGAAAAAACAGUGGAGAGUGUCAGAAGGUCAGGAUGGUUUAUGGAGGUUCAAGAACUGGAUUAUUGUGCCUAAUAUUGGAGACCUGCGACAGAGAAUCUUGAAGGAAGCUCAUAAGAGCGGGUUUUCAAUUCAUCCAGGGAGUACUAAAAUGUAUCAGGAUCUGAAAGCGAUGUUCUGGUGGCCAGGGAUGAAGAAUGAUGUGGCAUUACAUGUAUCUAAAUGUUUAACGUGUCAGAAGGUUAAGAUUGAGCAUCAGAGACCAUCAGGGACCCUUCAGCCUUUAGAGAUUCCACAAUGGAAAUGGGAGAGUAUCGCAAUGGACUUUGUGAUAGGUUUGCCUAGGACCCGAUCUGGUUGUGACGCUAUUUGGGUGGUUGUGGACCGAUUGACGAAAUUAGCUCAUUUUCUUCCUAUCCGAAUAAGUUGCACAAUGGAAGAAUUAGCUCGAAUGUAUAUUAAAGAGAUUGUCAGGUUGCAUGGCGUGCCUUCUACCAUUAUAUCUGACAGGGAUCCUCGGUUUACAUCAAGGUUCUGGGGAGCUUUUCAACGUGCAUUUGGAACUCAGCUAAGCUUGAGUACUGCGUAUCACCCUCAGACAGAUGGUCAGUCAGAAAGAACUAUUCAGACCUUGGAGGAUAUGCUAAGGGCUUGUGUUUUGGAUCAGCCUGCGAGUUGGGAUCGGUAUAUGCCAUUAAUUGAGUUUGCUUAUAAUAAUAGCUAUCAUGCGAGCAUCGGAAUGGCUCCAUAUGAGGCUCUGUAUGGCAGAAAAUGUCAGUCUCCACUAUGUUGGUAUGAAACUGGAGAAAGGAGUUUGUUAGGGCCUGAGAUGAUAGCUGAAACUACUGAAUAGAUAAAGAAAAUUCGUAGUCGAAUGCUUAUAGCCCAAAGCCGCCAGAAGAGCUAUGCUGAUCAAAGGCGGAAGCCUUUGGAAUUGGAAGAAGGAGAACAUGUCUUUCUGAAAGUUACACCAACCACUGGAGUGGGAAGAGCUAUUAAGACUAAGAAGCUGAAUCCCCGUUAUAUUGGACCAUUUGAGAUCCUGAAGAGAAUUGGGCCAGUGGCUUAUAGAAUCACCUUACCGCCAUAUCUUUCGAAUUUGCACAACGUGUUCCAUGCAUCACAGCUUAGGAAGUACACUCCUGAUGCAAGUCAUGUUCUAGAACCAGAACCAAUCCAAGUAAGAGAAGAUCUAACACUUCCAGUAAUCCCAGUGAGAAUUGAUGAUACUAAUAUUAAACGAUUACGCGGAAAGGAAGUGUCAUUGGUAAAAGUAGCUUGGAGUCGAGCUGGGAUCGAAGAACAUACUUGGGAACUCAAAUCAGAUAUGCAAAAGGACUACCCACAUCUCUUUUCAGGUAACUGAAUUUGAAUUUUGAGGGCAAAAUUCUUUGUUAGGUGGGUAGAAUGUAAACCCCGAUUAAUUAGUAGAUAAUUAGUUAAUAAAUUAGUUUUUAAUAAGGAGGAUUAGAAAUGUGAAUAUUAUAUCAAAUUAGGACAGAGCUCAUCGAAACGAGAAUUUUGACACCAAUUUCGAAGAAAACGGUCCAAAAUUGGACCGAACGGGCCGGACCGGUUGAACCGGACCCAAACCGGGCCCGUGGGCCCAACCGGCCAGCAUUUAAAUGAGCCUAAAAGCUCAUUUCUCUUCAUUAACGUAACAGAAGCAGCAACGCUCCCAGGGAGGAAGAGAACGCCAAACCUAACGGCAACCUUCAACAUGCCGUAACUCCUCCGUCCGAACUCCGAUCGCCGCACCGUUUGCGGCCACGCGUUCACCGCGUCGAGCUCUACGUUUCUACCGGAACAAUUUCAUAGGAUCCAAUUAGCUUGAGAGAAACGUUCACUCUUGCUUAUGUGAAGCUUGGGUAAGGUUGUGAAUAAAUAAUUGGAGCUUGAAAUUGUGAAUAUUGGAACUUGGAGGAAGCUGAUUAGUUGAAUUUUGAAGGGGCUGCCUUGGUUUUAAAUAAUUUGCUUUGGUCGUUACGGGGAAAUCGGCCAAGAUGCAGGUCGAGAGGCAUCUCGUUAGGCGUCUGGACUCUUGAGGCGGAGUGGUUACUGGGAUAUUUUGUUAUGCUAUGAUGUAUAUAUAUGUACUUAGCUUUCUCUCCGCAUGACUUAUUCUUUUUUAUCCUCUUAGAGGUUUAUGGAGAGGCAGGAUUGUGUAUAUGUACUUUUGGGUUUUUGAUAUGUAUGUAUAUAUGUGUAAAUAUUCUCCGACCAGUCUUGACUUCGCAGGCUGAGUUAGGAGCUUGUUAUUUUGUAUCUUUGGUAUUCUACCCCUACUUCUGUUAUCUUAUGUUUAAUAGUUAUGGUUUUCUUAGCACGCA